AAUUUAGUAGGGGAUUUGACUGAAGGGAACGGCCCCAGAGGUAGUGAUUUAAUUACUUAAUUAAUUUGAAACUCCAACUAUGCCCCAUUAUGACCUGUACUGGGAUAGUGGAGCUUGAUAUUGAUAAGCAUUUUAUACCUUGCCAGCGAAUUGGAUCACAAGAGGUUGCUCAUGAGUUUUUGCUUAGAUGUGUAGUAGGAGACUAGGAGCUCAAAAUGUCACGAAAAGCUAUCAGUAUUGUUCAUGGUGGUAGACGAAACUCUGGAUGCUAUAUUUGGAGAUGUUGAUAACAUUUCCCCAAGACUAGAUAUAUUAUCAACUCU